AAGAGAAGCUAAAUUAAAAGAAUGUGCAAUUGCAGAGCCUGCAGAAGGAGAUCCUCCCCAAGGUGAAUGUCUGAGUUCUAAAAGAGGAACAGAGAAAGACAUAGAUCCUGGAUGUAGGCCUCUUGCAGGAGAUGCAGAAGAGGAAGACAGGAAGAAAAAAU
rnacentral:lncRNA from 12 species